AAUAGAUACCCGGGUAGCCCACGCCGUAAACGAUGGAUGCUAGCUGUUAGGAGUAUCGACCCUCCUAGUAGCGUAGCUAACGCGUUAAGCAUCCCGCCUGUGGAGUACGGUCGCAAGACUAAAACAUAAAGGAAUUGACGGGGACCCGCACAAGCGGUGGAGCGUGUUGUUUAAUUCGAUGGUAAGCGAAGAACCUUACCCAGGCUUGACAUCCUGUUAAUUUCUCCGAAAGGAGAGAGUGCCUUCGGGCCGCAGUGACAGGUGAUGCAUGGCCGUCGUCAGCUCGUGUCGUGAGAUGUUUGGUUAAGUCCCAUCAACGAGCGCAACCCCUAUGUUUAGUUGUAUUUUUCUAAACAGACUGCCCUGGUAACAGGGAGGAAGGAGGGGAUGAUGUCAGGUCAGUAUCUCCCUUACGUCUGGGGCUACAAACACGCUACAAUGGCCGGUACAAAGGGCUGCCAACCCGCGAGGGGGAGCGAAAUCCCAUCAAAGCCGGUCUCAGUUCGGAUAGCAGGCUGAAACUCGCCUGCUUGAAG
rnacentral:rRNA from 1 species